CCUACGGGAGGCAGCAGUAGGGAAUCUUCCGCAAUGGACGAAAGUCUGACGGAGCAACGCCGCGUGAACGAUGAAGGCCUUCGGGUCGUAAAGUUCUGUUGUUAGGGAAGAACAAGUGCUAGUUGAAUAAGCUGGCACCUUGACGGUACCUAACCAGAAAGCCACGGCUAACUACGUGCCAGCAGCCGCGGUAAUACGUAGGUGGCAAGCGUUGUCCGGAAUUAUUGGGCGUAAAGCGCGCGCAGGCGGUUUCUUAAGUCUGAUGUGAAAGCCCCCGGCUCAACCGGGGAGGGUCAUUGGAAACUGGGAAACUUGAGUGCAGAAGAGGAAAGUGGAAUUCCAAGUGUAGCGGUGAAAUGCGUAGAGAUUUGGAGGAACACCAGUGGCGAAGGCGACUUUCUGGUCUGUAACUGACGCUGAGGCGCGAAAGCGUGGGGAGCAAACAGGAUUAGAUACCCUGGUAGUCCACGCUGUAAACGAUGAGUGCUAAGUGUUAGAGGGUUUCCGCCCUUUAGUGUCUGAAGUUAACGCAUUAAGCACUCCGCCUGGGGAGUACGGUCGCAAGACUGAAAACUUAAAUGAAAUUGACGG
rnacentral:rRNA from 1 species